rnacentral:rRNA from 1 species
GCUAUACAUGCAGUCGAACGAACUUCCGUUAAUUGAUCAUGGACGUGCUUGCACUGAAUGAGAUUUUAACACGAAGUGAGUGGCGGACGGGUGAGUAACACGUGGGUAACCUGCCCAGAAGCAGGGGAUAACACCUGGAAACAGAUGCUAAUACCGUAUAACAGAGAAAACCGCCUGGUUUUCUUUUAAAAGAUGGCUCUGCUAUCACUUCUGGAUGGACCCGCGGCGCAUUAGCUAGUUGGUGAGGUAACGGCUCACCAAGGCGAUGAUGCGUAGCCGACCUGAGAGGGUAAUCGGCCACAUUGGGACUGAGACACGGCCCAGACUCCUACGGGAGGCAGCAGUAGGGAAUCUUCCACAAUGGACGCAAGUCUGAUGGAGCAACGCCGCGUGAGUGAAGAAGGGUUUCGGCUCGUAAAGCUCUGUUGUUAAAGAAGAACGUGGGUGAGAGUAACUGUUCACCCAGUGACGGUAUUUAACCAGAAAGCCACGGCUAACUACGUGCCAGCAGCCGCGGUAAUACGUAGGUGGCAAGCGUUAUCCGGAUUUAUUGGGCGUAAAGCGAGCGCAGGCGGUCUUUUAAGUCUAAUGUGAAAGCCUUCGGCUCAACCGAAGAAGUGCAUUGGAAACUGGGAGACUUGAGUGCAGAAGAGGACAGUGGAACUCCAUGUGUAGCGGUGAAAUGCGUAGAUAUAUGGAAGAACACCAGUGGCGAAGGCGGCUGUCUGGUCUGUAACUGACGCUGAGGCUCGAAAGCAUGGGUAGCGAACAGGAUUAGAUACCCUGGUAGUCCAUGCCGUAAACGAUGAUUACUAAGUGUUGGAGGGUUUCCGCCCUUCAGUGCUGCAGCUAACGCAUUAAGUAAUCCGCCUGGGGAGUACGACCGCAAGGUUGAAACUCAAAAGAAUUGACGGGGGCCCGCACAAGCGGUGGAG